UACGUAGGGUGCGAGCGUUGUCCGGAAUUAUUGGGCGUAAAGAGCUUGUAGGUGGCUCGUUGCGUCGGGAGUGAAAACCUGCGGCUUAACCGCAGGCCUGCUUCCGAUACGGGCGAGCUAGAGUUCGGCAGGGGAGACUGGAAUUCCUGGUGUAGCGGUGGAAUGCGCAGAUAUCAGGAGGAACACCGGUGGCGAAGGCGGGUCUCUGGGCCGAUACUGACACUGAGAAGCGAAAGCGUGGGGAGCGAACAGGA
rnacentral:rRNA from 1 species